UCCAGGAAGUUGGUUACAAAAAGAGUCCUGUUGAGGAAAGACGAGAAAAAAAGGAAAAGAGGAAAGCCCACUUACUGAUACAGGAAAUCAGGAUUUGUAACAACCAUGUCCUGACUCCCACAACGGGGCCCGUGCAAGAUGGAGGUUUGGGGGCUGUGCAGAGCAUGCCGGGCAGAAGACAGAAGAAGGUGACUUUUCAACAUGUUUUGCAUACGAGGAGAGACAUACAGUUACCUCUCUCGAAAGAAUUCUUGAUAUCGUUCACUUCCACCUGGGAGCAAUGUCAAAAGUCUAGUUAAAGCCAAGCAUGGGUACGGCUUGCGAGCGAUGGCAGCGUGGAGAGGCCCUCACUUCCGGUCAGCACGAUACCUGAUGUCUUGCGUGAGAGUUCCUUCGUCCCCGGCUAGAAGCAUUAUCAGAAAUACAGGAUGAGAAAGAAGAGAGAGAGUAAACACGGCAGAGAUACAAGAUACAGACUUCAAGGCUGUACAAAAUGUAUCCAAUAUAAUGAAUUCCUUAAGUC
rnacentral:lncRNA from 1 species